GUGUGUUAUAUGCACAGAGCCUAGAAGAACUCACUGGAUCCCUGGAGCUGAAGGUGUAGGCAGCUGUGAGCCAGCUGAUCUGAGCACUGAGAACUGAACUUUCCUAGAAGAGCAGGAAAAACUCAACCACUGAGCUAUAGUUCCAGCCCCAUACUUAUUUUGCUUUUUUCCUCUUAGCUCUUUGUAUACUAGAAACCAUCCAUUAGUUUAUAGGUCCUCUUGAGACAGGAUAUUACUAUGUCUAGCCCUGACUGGCCUGAAACUAGCUAUGCAGUGUAGUCUAGAUUUAAUGUGGCAUUGAGUCCCCUACCUCUGCACUGGUAAUAUGGGGAUGCAGAACUAUUUAAUGCUUCUACUAGUUACCUUUCUUCUUUUUAAAAGUUGCACAGUAUUCUGUGGGGUGGGUGUUUAGCUGACUAAAUCAAUCUUUUAGGUUUAGAAGUUAGAUUGUUUGCAAUAUCACAAUGUCAAUAUCCGAGAGAGAGAGAGAGAGAGAGAGAGAGAGAGAGAGAGAGAGAUACAAUGUUGAAACAAUCAUUUUGCUAUAUACUUUCAUACUUGGUCUGAAAACUUUGAUUCCCACUAUCUAAUAUGGGACACCUUAGUGUAGCUUUAGCUGGCAUUCCCUCCUUUUUUGUAAAUGCUGGUCAGUUUGCUUACAUUCAUGGGUCAAUUUUAUGUUUCUGCAGCUUGUCUUUUUGUGAGUUUUGCUCAUUUUCUCACAGGAUAUUCUUUCAAACUUUUUUUCUUCCUCAGACAAGGUCUCAUGUGGCCCAAUAAGGCUUAAACUCCUGAUCCUACCUCUACUUCCCAAGUGACGGGGCUACUCUGUAGCCUUAGCUUGGCCUUGAACUCAUAGCAAUUUAGAGUCAGCCUCAUAAAUGUUGGGAAGCUGAGUAUGUGCCACCACACCAGGUCCUCCCUCCUCCAAUUCUUAUGACAAGGUUGCCUCUUCUCUAAUUCAAGUAGUUAAAAGUUCCAAUAAAGAUUUGUUGUUGUUGUUUUUUCGAGGCAGGGUUUCUCUAUAUAGCUCUGGCUGUCCUAGAACUCACUUUGUAGACCAGAACAGCCAGGGCUACACAGAGAAACCCUGUCUCGAAAAACAAAAAAUAAAAAACAAAACAAAA
rnacentral:lncRNA from 1 species